AGAUUUUUUUAGUAGCCAAGAAUGACUUGCCUGCAUUUCUCCCUAAAAUAUAUGAGCAAGUGCAUAUUUAUGUGUGUUCUCCAUGCAGUCAUCUUGGAUAACUUCACUGGCUCU
rnacentral:miRNA from 1 species